rnacentral:rRNA from 1 species
UACAGAGAUCUCAAGCGUUGUUCGGAUUCAUUGGGCGUAAAGGGUGCGUAGGCGGCGCGGUAGGUCGGGUGUGAAAUCUUGGAGCUUAACUCCGAAACUGCAUUCGAUACUGCCGUGCUUGAGGACUGGAGAGGAGACUGGAAUUUACGGUGUAGCGGUGAAAUGCGUAGAUAUCGUAAGGAAGACCAGUGGCGAAGGCGGGUCUCUGGACAGUUCCUGACGCUGAGGCACGAAGGUCAGGGGAGCAAACGGG